AGAGUAUUUCUGGUCCAUGACAAGAAGGCAAAUUAAAAAUGUAUGCAAAAACCCACAACUCAUUUAACCAACCGGGCCUCUAUUUUUAUUUUUGUAAUUACACAAGUAAAAAACGAACUCAUGAUCAUUGCAAAAAAAUGCAGCAGCACAAAACUAUAUGGAGUGAGAACUUCUUCACAUACUCUCCUCCCAUCUUACCCCUCCCACGGAUCCUUCCAGACUUUUCUUAGAGGAUUCAUAAAUUCCAUAGAUAACCUCCCACUCCAGCCCCGAGAAAAACUGAUCCCUCCUUCUCUUUCUCGCUUGCCAAGAUUACAGAACCAAAAAGAAUUUGAGUCUGGAGCACUUGUUUAAGUGGAAAAGGAGGUGCAAUUUCACAAAAUAAAGGGGGAAAUCCCAGCAGGGCCAUGCACUCCGGGAGGCAGUUUGAAGAAGGGAGUCCGUGGGGCUGGAGGUGGGGUCUGAGGGAGGGGCCCGCAGAGGGAAGUGUUUGAGCAGUGAUGAGAACCUGAGCAGAAUCUGAGCGGAGUCUGCUUACACAAAGGGCUCGGACCACACCUUCCCAAGGAACAGCGCCCCCCACGCCCCGCCCCAUUAGAAUCAACCUUUUCAGGUCCAGGAGAAGGUGUAAGGGAGCAAGAAUUCUUUCAUUUCCUUCCUGUAACCGUAUCCAGCCUGUGCCACCUUGGGUGCGAGGCUGUAGGAGGUUCAAAGUGACCCUCAAGGCAGGCUCAAGGAGGUGGCCCCAUGGCAAACCAGAGGGGGCACAGCUGAGAACAUUCCAAGCAGGGCAGGCUCAGAGGACAGGGUGUGGACCUUGGCUUUCCUUAAAGAAAUGAGUACAUGAAGCACUGGCUUUGCAGCAUAUAAUGGAAAUGGAAAAAAUUCUGCUAUAUCAGAUGGAGGCUUGGAAGAGAUCACAAGUAGGCAGAGAGGUAGCCAGAGAGAGGAGA